UACGGGGGGAGCAAGCGUUGUUCGGAUUUACUGGGCGUAAAGGGCGCGUAGGCGGCCACCGCAAGUCGACUGUGAAAUCUCCGGGCUUAACCCGGAAAGGUCAGCCGAUACUGCGGGGCUAGAGUGCAGAAGGGGCAACUGGAAUUCUCGGUGUAGCGGUGAAAUGCGUAGAUAUCUGGAGGAACACCGGUGGCGAAGGCGGCAUCCUGGACCGGUAUUGACGCUGAGGAGCGAAAGCCAGGGGAGCAAACGGG
rnacentral:rRNA from 1 species